rnacentral:rRNA from 1 species
GGGUUGUGAGGUUAAGCGACUAAGCGUACACGGUGGAUGCCCUGGCAGUCAGAGGCGAUGAAGGACGUGCUAAUCUGCGAUAAGCGUCGGUAAGGUGAUAUGAACCGUUAUAACCGGCGAUUUCCGAAUGGGGAAACCCAGUGUGUUUCGACACACUAUCAUUAACUGAAUCCAUAGGUUAAUGAGGCGAACCGGGGGAACUGAAACAUCUAAGUACCCCGAGGAAAAGAAAUCAACCGAGAUUCCCCCAGUAGCGGCGAGCGAACGGGGAGCAGCCCAGAGCCUGAAUCAGUGUGUGUGUUAGUGGAAGCGUCUGGAAAGGCGCGCGAUACAGGGUGACAGCCCCGUACACAAAAAUGCACAUACUGUGAGCUCGAUGAGUAGGGCGGGACACGUGGUAUCCUGUCUGAAUAUGGGGGGACCAUCCUCCAAGGCUAAAUACUCCUGACUGACCGAUAGUGAACCAGUACCGUGAGGGAAAGGCGAAAAGAACCCCGGCGAGGGGAGUGAAAAAGAACCUGAAACCGUGUACGUACAAGCAGUGGGAGCACGCUUCGGCGUGUGACUGCGUACCUUUUGUAUAAUGGGUCAGCGACUUAUAUUCUGUAGCAAGGUUAACCGAAUAGGGGAGCCGAAGGGAAACCGAGUCUUAACUGGGCGUUAAGUUGCAGGGUAUAGACCCGAAACCCGGUGAUCUAGCCAUGGGCAGGUUGAAGGUUGGGUAACACUAACUGGAGGACCGAACCGACUAAUGUUGAAAAAUUAGCGGAUGACUUGUGGCUGGGGGUGAAAGGCCAAUCAAACCGGGAGAUAGCUGGUUCUCCCCGAAAGCUAUUUAGGUAGCGCCUCGUGAAUUCAUCUCCGGGGGUAGAGCACUGUUUCGGCAAGGGGGUCAUCCCGACUUACCAACCCGAUGCAAACUGCGAAUACCGGAGAAUGUUAUCACGGGAGACACACGGCGGGUGCUAACGUCCGUCGUGAAGAGGGAAACAACCCAGACCGCCAGCUAAGGUCCCAAAGUCAUGGUUAAGUGGGAAACGAUGUGGGAAGGCCCAGACAGCCAGGAUGUUGGCUUAGAAGCAGCCAUCAUUUAAAGAAAGCGUAAUAGCUCACUGGUCGAGUCGGCCUGCGCGGAAGAUGUAACGGGGCUAAACCAUGCACCGAAGCUGCGGCAGCGACACUAUGUGUUGUUGGGUAGGGGAGCGUUCUGUAAGCCUGUGAAGGUGUACUGUGAGGUAUGCUGGAGGUAUCAGAAGUGCGAAUGCUGACAUAAGUAACGAUAAAGCGGGUGAAAAGCCCGCUCGCCGGAAGACCAAGGGUUCCUGUCCAACGUUAAUCGGGGCAGGGUGAGUCGACCCCUAAGGCGAGGCCGAAAGGCGUAGUCGAUGGGAAACAGGUUAAUAUUCCUGUACUUGGUGUUACUGCGAAGGGGGGACGGAGAAGGCUAUGUUGGCCGGGCGACGGUUGUCCCGGUUUAAGCGUGUAGGCUGGUUUUCCAGGCAAAUCCGGAAAAUCAAGGCUGAGGCGUGAUGACGAGGCACUACGGUGCUGAAGCAACAAAUGCCCUGCUUCCAGGAAAAGCCUCUAAGCAUCAGGUAACAUCAAAUCGUACCCCAAACCGACACAGGUGGUCAGGUAGAGAAUACCAAGGCGCUUGAGAGAACUCGGGUGAAGGAACUAGGCAAAAUGGUGCCGUAACUUCGGGAGAAGGCACGCUGAUAUGUAGGUGAAGUCCCUCGCGGAUGGAGCUGAAAUCAGUCGAAGAUACCAGCUGGCUGCAACUGUUUAUUAAAAACACAGCACUGUGCAAACACGAAAGUGGACGUAUACGGUGUGACGCCUGCCCGGUGCCGGAAGGUUAAUUGAUGGGGUUAGCGGUAACGCGAAGCUCUUGAUCGAAGCCCCGGUAAACGGCGGCCGUAACUAUAACGGUCCUAAGGUAGCGAAAUUCCUUGUCGGGUAAGUUCCGACCUGCACGAAUGGCGUAAUGAUGGCCAGGCUGUCUCCACCCGAGACUCAGUGAAAUUGAACUCGCUGUGAAGAUGCAGUGUACCCGCGGCAAGACGGAAAGACCCCGUGAACCUUUACUAUAGCUUGACACUGAACAUUGAGCCUUGAUGUGUAGGAUAGGUGGGAGGCUUUGAAGUGUGGACGCCAGUCUGCAUGGAGCCGACCUUGAAAUACCACCCUUUAAUGUUUGAUGUUCUAACGUUGACCCGUGAUCCGGGUUGCGGACAGUGUCUGGUGGGUAGUUUGACUGGGGCGGUCUCCUCCUAAAGAGUAACGGAGGAGCACGAAGGUUGGCUAAUCCUGGUCGGACAUCAGGAGGUUAGUGCAAUGGCAUAAGCCAGCUUGACUGCGAGCGUGACGGCGCGAGCAGGUGCGAAAGCAGGUCAUAGUGAUCCGGUGGUUCUGAAUGGAAGGGCCAUCGCUCAACGGAUAAAAGGUACUCCGGGGAUAACAGGCUGAUACCGCCCAAGAGUUCAUAUCGACGGCGGUGUUUGGCACCUCGAUGUCGGCUCAUCACAUCCUGGGGCUGAAGUAGGUCCCAAGGGUAUGGCUGUUCGCCAUUUAAAGUGGUACGCGAGCUGGGUUUAGAACGUCGUGAGACAGUUCGGUCCCUAUCUGCCGUGGGCGCUGGAGAACUGAGGGGGGCUGCUCCUAGUACGAGAGGACCGGAGUGGACGCAUCACUGGUGUUCGGGUUGUCAUGCCAAUGGCACUGCCCGGUAGCUAAAUGCGGAAGAGAUAAGUGCUGAAAGCAUCUAAGCACGAAACUUGCCCCGAGAUGAGUUCUCCCUGACUCCUUGAGAGUCCUGAAGGAACGUUGAAGACGACGACGUUGAUAGGCCGGGUGUGUAAGCGCAGCGAUGCGUUGAGCUAACCGGUACUAAUGAACCGUGAGGCUUAACCUUACAACGCCGAAGGUGUUU